AGAGCGAACGCUGGCGGCAGGCUUAACACAUGCAAGUCGAGCGGGCGUAGCAAUACGUCAGCGGCAGACGGGUGAGUAACGCGUGGGAACGUACCUUUUGGUUCGGAACAACACAGGGAAACUUGUGCUAAUACCGGAUAAGCCCUUACGGGGAAAGAUUUAUCGCCAAAAGAUCGGCCCGCGUCUGAUUAGCUAGUUGGUGAGGUAAAGGCUCACCAAGGCGACGAUCAGUAGCUGGUCUGAGAGGAUGAUCAGCCACAUUGGGACUGAGACACGGCCCAAACUCCUACGGGAGGCAGCAGUGGGGAAUAUUGGACAAUGGGCGAAAGCCUGAUCCAGCCAUGCCGCGUGAGUGAUGAAGGCCCUAGGGUUGUAAAGCUCUUUUGUGCGGGAAGAUAAUGACGGUACCGCAAGAAUAAGCCCCGGCUAACUUCGUGCCAGCAGCCGC
rnacentral:rRNA from 1 species